CAGAGUUGCAAAACUCCCUAAACCAUCGCGAACGUUACCAAAUCGUUGCUUCGGCGGGCGGGGGCCCCAGCGCCCCCCCCACCAGGCCCCUCCAGGGGGGCGCCCGCCGGAGGUACCCCAACUCUUGACAAUUAUUGGCCUCUCUGAGUCUUCUGUACUGAAUAAGUCA
rnacentral:misc_RNA from 1 species